rnacentral:rRNA from 1 species
UUUGGAAGGUUGUGCCCUUGAGGCGUGGCUUCCGGGAGCUAACGCGUUAAAUCGACCGCCUGGGGAGUACGGCCGCAAGGUUAAAACUCAAAUGAAUUGACGGGGGCCCGCACAAGCGGUGGAGCAUGUGGUUUAAUUCGAUGCAACGCGAAGAACCUUACCUGGUCUUGACAUCCACAGAACUUUCCAGAGAUGCAUUGGUGCCUUCGGGAACUGUGAGACAGGUGCUGCAUGGCUGUCGUCAGCUCGUGUUGUGAAAUGUUGGGUUAAGUCCCGCAACGAGCGCAACCCUUAUCCUUUGUUGCCAGCGGUUCGGCCGGGAACUCAAAGGAGACUGCCAGUGAUAAACUGGAGGAAGGUGGGGAUGACGUCAAGUCAUCAUGGCCCUUACGACCAGGGCUACACACGUGCUACAAUGGCAUAUACAAAGAGAAGCGACCUCGCGAGAGCAAGCGGACCUCAUAAAGUAUGUCGUAGUCCGGAUUGGAGUCUGCAACUCGACUCCAUGAAGUCGGAAUCGCUAGUAAUCGUACAUCAUAAUGCUACGGUGAAUACGUUCCCGGGCCUUGUACACACCGCCCGUCACACCAUGGGAGUGGGUUGCAAAAGAAGUAGGUAGCUUAACCUUCGGGAGGGCGCUUACCACUUUGUGAUUCAUGACUGGGGUGAAGUCGUAA